rnacentral:ncRNA from 1 species
AAAAAAGCGAUGACCGUGUAAAGUAGAGAGCCAUUUUCCGUCAGAGAGGGGGAAUCCCCGGCUGAAAGUUCCCUCAGGUUCAGGUGGCAAUCGAAUUUCCCACGCAAGCUGCAUUUUUGAAACAGAUAUAAUGAAAGUAGGAAAUGCCGUGUCUGCACGUUACGCAGCAAUGAGCGCCUGUAUGUUUUCAGAACAUAUGGGAAUCAGGGUGGUAUCGCGGGUAAUUCCUCGUCCCUAUA